UACGGAGGGUGCAAGCGUUGUCCGGAUUUAUUGGGUUUAAAGGGUGCGUAGGUGGCCUCUUAAGUCAGUGGUGAAAGCCCGCGGCUCAACCGCGGAACUGCCAUUGAUACUGGGAGGCUUGAGUACAGACGAGGUGGGCGGAAUUGAAGAUGUAGCGGUGAAAUGCUUAGAUAUCUUCAAGAACACCGAUUGCGUAGGCAGCUUACUAGGCUGUAACUGACGCUGAGGCACGAAAGCGUGGGGAGCAAACAGG
rnacentral:rRNA from 1 species